UACGUAGGGGGCGAGCGUUGUCCGGAUUUAUUGGGCGUAAAGAGCUCGUAGGCGGUUGGGUAAGUCGGGUGUGAAAACUCAGGGCUCAACUCUGAGACGCCACUCGAUACUGCUCUGACUCGAGUCCGGUAGGGGAGCGUGGAAUUCCCGGUGUAGCGGUGAAAUGCGCAGAUAUCGGGAGGAACACCAGUGGCGAAGGCGGCGCUCUGGGCCGGAACUGACGCUGAGGAGCGAAAGCGUGGGUAGCAAACAGGAUUAGAAACCCCCGUAGUCC
rnacentral:rRNA from 1 species